rfam:Stegodyphus mimosarum contig97209, whole genome shotgun sequence.
GCCUUCGUGAAGUAAUGGUCAGCACACUGAGCCGGUAUUUCAGAGGUCCGUGGUUCGAUUCCCGGCGAAGGCC